GGAUAAUUUAAUGGAGCAGUAAAAGGCCAGAUUCUCAGCUGAUACCCACUGAUGAGAAAAUCGCACCAAUUUGCACCAGCUGAAGAUGCACUGUCUGGAUCUCUAGAGCUCCUACUUUUAAGAAGUGCAAGUGAAUCUUCAGCUAUUUUGCUUACAGAGUACUUAUGGGAAAGAGGAAUGUGUAUGUUCGCAGCUAAACUUUUGUCCAUCAUAGUUUCACAGUGAUAACCUGAAGCCCAUUUGGACACAGAUCAGGACUUUGGUUGGGUAUUACUGUCCACUGCAUAGGUGAGCUAACACAAACUACUCCAACUAUAUAUUUAGAUUGAUUUUCUUUUGGUUAUCCUGCAACAGUUUAGUUUUGCUCUAGGCUUAGGUGAUAAAUAUAACGUGGAUUAAAGCCAUUGCUCCUCAGACUGGCCCUGGGUUUGUUUGUUGCAGGACAUAAUACAUCUGUGCUUAACAAUCUCACUCCUUUCAGUUAACCCAUCCAUGGCCCCAGAGAUUUUCCUCUUGAAGCCAAUCCAACAUGGUAAGGAAGAGACCCUACACCGUGAGGAAUCAGGGCAGUCUGGCUUUGGAGUUCAGAACCAGAUGGCUGGAAGCUUCAUUGCUAUUUAACAAAGACUUUUGGUACUAAGACAAAUGCCAAGAUCUGCAGGCAGCCCAACUUUCAGUAACUUCCUCGAUACUUUUGAGUCAUCAUUAAUACCAUCCCACUCAAGAGAUAUUCCUAGGUGUACCCCUCUUCCCAGCACUUUUUUUAAUCAUAUACUUUUAAUUUGCUUUAACCCUGCUGGCAAUUAACCUUUCACCCUGUAAUGUGAUGGAAAGUACAGCAACAAUAGCAGAGUAGCACAAUCCUUGGCUAUAGCAAAUGAGAACAACCCCAAAUGCAGCAACUGUGGUUGCAGAAAUGAAAGAAAAAAAACUGCUUACCUUUGUAAGGCCUCCAGUAGAAAGAAAUCUACAACAAGAUACCCUUCCCUCCACUGCCAACCCUUAAAUGAGGUCUGGGAAGGGUGGAUCCUGGCUCUACCUCUUCUGGUCACUCACGUUCAUUGCAUGCACCUGAGCUCCCCUGGGUUGGCCCUGCCUUCCCACCAGGUGCUCAAUCACUUUUUCAGGCUGUGACUUAGCAUUUCCGCUAUACCCCUGGAACUCUUUUCUCGUAAUUCCUGGCAAGCUCCAUUCAGUGCUGUAAUCUAUGUGAGCUGUUUAAACCCUUCUGCUUUUCCAUGGCAGUUUUCAAAGACUGGAGAUCUUUGAGCAGUCUCCUGUGAAGUUUUAGCAGCCUCUUCCCGCUCCCUAUUGCUGUGUUGGGCAAGGGGCGGCAGUCUGCUUUCUUCUUUCAUGCCAUUUCUGAGCAAUUCUUCAGUGUUGUGCUUCUCCCUGACUGAUCAAAGCCUUUCCCACUGUGACCUUUGAUCAAGCAGUAAAAGAUUUCUAGCAGAGCAUCAGCCCCUUCUGAUUGCUGUAUGAGGUGGGUCAGCCAGUACCCAGGGCAGCGUGGGGGUAGUGGAAGUGCUUGCUUGAGCAAGGCUGGCAGGGGUUGCCCGUUUGUCUCCUAAGUAUUUUCCAGUUUACUGCAUGGCAAGGUUAAUUGCUGCUGUGUGCUCUGACUCUGUUUUUCACCACGUCGAAUUCCCUGUGUUGCUGGUGUCAACACCAUUCUCACCUGUUCAGGUUGCCCAGAAGCACUCAUAAGACAAACAUGAGCUGAGAGAUACAUGCUAUCUAUCUGUAUGCUAUGUAUAUGCAUGUAAAUAUAUGUAUACUUAUGAAUCUUUCAUACAUGUUUAUGUGUGUAUGUAUAUAUGUUAAUCUAUAUCUCAGCAUGCUUGUGUGAAGACAUUUUCCUCACUGGCAGAAUUUGAACUCCAAGUGGACUGUUGUCUGUCUGACAUAGGGCAUGAUGGAAGAAUACUUCUUUUGCCUCUGUUGAAAAUGAUUGACCAUUGGUUCAGUCAAAUGCUACAGAGCAUUAAUGAGAUGUUGGCUUUGUAUGCCAGCCAAGAUAUUAUGGACGUGCCAUGUAAGAUGGACACACGCUUGGGCUCCACAUGGUUCGCUGAAGGCAGCUGCUCUUGGCAGGUGGGGCAAGGCAGGAACACUUAAUCUUUCAUUGAAUGCUGAUUAAAUUUGCAGAACGGGGUACAACUGGAAAAAAUAUGAGUGACCAAAGAGGUGAAACUGAUGCUGUGUUCACAGGUAGAGCCUUAGGAAUUAUCUGAACAGAAAAGGACGCUAGCUGGUAAGAGUUAGCAGCACCCAAACUCCUCCCUGGUUUAUGAUUUCCUUUGGUUUCUCUUUGUUUUGCUCAAUCUGCAAUCAUUACAUGAGCAUAAUAUCUGCUGACGGAAAUUCCCUAGAAAACCUCAUUAUUUAAUGCAAAAUAAUAUCUUCAUCAACAGCUCUGAAGCAGGUGGUUUCUCACAUGUUGCCACUAUUUCCAAAGUCAUCAUUGUUGUUUUUUUUUUUCCUUAAUGAAGAAAGUUAAAAAAAAGCCCACUAAACAACAAUAAGAAGUUCUGCUUUUGAUUAACAAGGAAAAAAAAAGUUUAAUUUCUAAAGAUGUCUCUAUAUUAUUAACUCAAUUAUCAGAAGGGAUGGUUGAAUGAGCAGACAAUUAAAAGAAGGAGAAGCUCAGAAGGAAAAGUUCAUCAGUGUAUUAGGCAGACAAUGGGGGAAAGUAAAACUAUUUCAAGUGCUAUUUGAAGGAAGCCAUUUGGGAAAGAAAUAGGAUUAAUUAAGUUUUGAACCGGUUAAUUUUGUUAUCUAAAAAUAUUUCACAGAUUAACCACUAUAACGUACUUAUGCAUGAGGUAAUGUCUGAGCUCCUUCAGCAGUGCUGCUCUCGAUAAAGGUACUUUAAAUCAACAUGGCACUCCAGACUUUCCAGAGCCCAUGGUGUACUCUGCAGCUGAGAUUAACAUGGGGCUUUGAGACAUCCACAACAGAGAGGUCUGAACUGUGCAGCAGUAUUCUGCUGUCUGUCACAGUGUCAGCUGAAUCCCGCUAAACUCAAUGAGAGGCAAUGGCUUUGUUGCCUCUCACGGGGAGUGAUCUUUAGGCUUUAUCACCUCCUCCGUCUCCCUGUAUAGACCCUGUCUGUUUUCAUUGUAAGCAUCAGUCUAAAAUAUCUUUGUAGAGCUAGAGCAGUGACUUGGAGGAUCUGCUGUCACCACAACUACCCCAAAGAGGAAUCUCUUUCCUUUUGCAAUUUAUUCCCAUUGCCCCUUCCUUGGAGCUUGUGUACAUGUAGCUACAGGGAUGCUCCAAGUGCUCCUUCAUCUACAUAAUUCAGGUAAACUCUUCCCUUCCCAUUCUUUUUCCUGUUCUCCUUGAGAAAAUGUCUGUAACCUUUUCCUUCCAUGGAUUUUUGUCCCUUACAUUUUUGUUUUUUGGGCUGAUCCUGAGCUGACAGUGGGAAGACAGUUUUCCCUGACUUUGGCUCAGACCUCCAAGACAGCCCUGUAUUCCAGCUCUCAGUAUGGUUUCCACCAAAAUAUAUGUAGUAAUAAUUGUCUGUACAAAAUUUCCUUGCUGCAAAGCUUUGGACAAUGGGGUCUGUGCCCUCACUCCGCAUGCAUAGCCCUGCUUUGUGAAAACGGGUCCCAUAAUUGGAUUAAAUCAAUAUGCAAAGGGCAAAAAUAAAUAAAUAAAUCUGUUUACCCUGUCUGCACAGGGCUUUUGUUUGUGCCUUAGUUUUCUUCAAGGCGUGGGUAGUGAAUCAUGACAAAUUACUUUCUCAAGCUUUGCCGUCUAUUUCUUAAUGAAUUAAUUUUAACAGGCACCAGCCACGGUCCUCCCCAUGCUGCUGCUGCCAUGAUGGUCCCUGGGUGGGGUGGACCAGUGACUCUGUUCUCAGCAAGGGGACAAGCUUGGAAAAAGUGUGACAAACUAUAUACAAUGUUGAGUGGCCCAGGCAAGACAAAGGCAUUCACCCUGCCCCUCCAGUUGUUGAAUUUAGGUGAGAAAUGCCAAAUACAUGACUUGAGGAAAAAAUAUGACCUGUGGGUGCUUGAAAGUAAUUUUCCAUAGGUGGUAUUUGAGAAUCUUAUCUUCCAUCUCGUUAAUAAUGAUCUUUGAAGGGAACCCUAUAAACUGUCUUCCAUUUCUGAUGAGAUGGAAUAAUUUAUUACUUCAAUUUCCCUGAUUAAUGUAAAAUGUGUUUCAAAUUUAGGUUUUGCUUUAAUAUUUAAGCUUCCCCAUGAGAGGAGCUGCAGUAGGGCAGGGUGACUGUGUCAUCCCCUGUAUCCACCCUCCCUGUGCCAUGGCAUGUUCCCAAAUCAGGGUGAGCUCUGCUAGCAGAGCAGACCUGCAAUAAAAUUAAGCAGCAAACAUAGCUUGUUUCAAGACCCUGCUCUCUUAAAAGGCAGGAACAUUGGUGCCUACCUGCCUGGAAGGGUCAGAUCCCACAGCUCUGCUCAUUCAUGC
ensembl:lncRNA